rnacentral:rRNA from 1 species
ACAUGCAGUCGAGCGAAUGGAUUAAGAGCUUGCUCUUAUGAAGUUAGCGGCGGACGGGUGAGUAACACGUGGGUAACCUGCCCAUAAGACUGGGAUAACUCCGGGAAACCGGGGCUAAUACCGGAUAACAUUUUGAACCGCAUGGUUCGAAAUUGAAAGGCGGCUUCGGCUGUCACUUAUGGAUGGACCCGCGUCGCAUUAGCUAGUUGGUGAGGUAACGGCUCACCAAGGCAACGAUGCGUAGCCGACCUGAGAGGGUGAUCGGCCACACUGGGACUGAGACACGGCCCAGACUCCUACGGGAGGCAGCAGUAGGGAAUCUUCCGCAAUGGACGAAAGUCUGACGGAGCAACGCCGCGUGAGUGAUGAAGGCUUUCGGGUCGUAAAACUCUGUUGUUAGGGAAGAACAAGUGCUAGUUGAAUAAGCUGGCACCUUGACGGUACCUAACCAGAAAGCCACGGCUAACUACGUGCCAGCAGCCGCGGUAAUACGUAGGUGGCAAGCGUUAUCCGGAAUUAUUGGGCGUAAAGCGCGCGCAGGUGGUUUCUUAAGUCUGAUGUGAAAGCCCACGGCUCAACCGUGGAGGGUCAUUGGAAACUGGGAGACUUGAGUGCAGAAGAGGAAAGUGGAAUUCCAUGUGUAGCGGUGAAAUGCGUAGAGAUAUGGAGGAACACCAGUGGCGAAGGCGACUUUCUGGUCUGUAACUGACACUGAGGCGC